AUUGAACGCUGGCGGCAUGCUUUACACAUGCAAGUCGAACGGCAGCGCGGGCUUCGGCCUGGCGGCGAGUGGCGGACGGGUGAGUAAUGCAUCGGAACGUGCCCAGUAUUUGGGGAUAGGCCGGCGAAAGCCGGAUGAAUACCGCAUACGACCUGAGGUUGAAAGCGGGGGACCGAAAGGCCUCGCGCGAUUGGAGCGGCCGAUGUCGGAUUAGCUAGUUGGUUGGGUAAAGGCUUACCAAGGCGACGAUCCGUAGCUGGUCUGAGAGGACGACCAGCCACACUGGGACUGAGACACGGCCCAGACUCCUACGGGAGGCAGCAGUGGGGAAUUUUGGACAAUGGGCGAAAGCCUGACGCAGCCAUGCCGCGUGAGGGAAGAAGGCCUUCGGGUUGUAAACCGCUUUUGUUCGGGAAGAACUACUCUGGGCUAAUACCCCGGGGUGAUGACGGUACCGGAAGAAUAAGCACCGGCUAACUACGUG
rnacentral:rRNA from 1 species